rnacentral:rRNA from 1 species
ACUCCUACGGGAGGCAGCAGUGGGAAUAUUGCACAAUGGGGAAAGCCCAUCGAUGCAGCCAUGCCGCGCUGUGUGAAGAAGGCCAAUUCGGGCUUUGGUUAAAGACACUUUUCAGUAGGGAGGAAGGUAGUGUAGUUAACACCUGCACUAUUUGACGUUACCUACAGAAGAAGCACCGGCUAACUCCGUGCCAGCAGCCGCGGUAAUACGGAGGGUGCGAGCGUUAAUCGGAAUUACUGGGCGUAAAGCGCAUGCAGGCGGCCUGUUAAGUCAGAUGUGAAAGCCCGGGGCUUAACCUCGGAAUUGCAUUUGAAACUGGCAGGCUAGAGUCUUGUAGAGGGGGUGAGAA